rnacentral:tmRNA from 1 species
GGGGGCGUAAUGGGUUCGACGGGGGAAGCGGUGGCAGGAGGAGCGAGCCGGGGUUUCCAUCAGCCCGCAAAACGGUGGAAAAAUUAUAAUUGCCAACAACGAAUACGCCUUAGCAGCUUAAUUGCUGUUAACCUUCUACCCGCGCUGGGCCCGUGGCCCGGGCCAGGGGGUCAUUUAAACGGGCUGGCUCAAGUCCCAAUUCUCGGAGGGUUUGAGCAAGAUCUAUCGAGAUAGUGCCAAGGGAGCCCGGCUGUAGGCGCCCGCGGCGCGAAACCUAAACUGCAGCCUGCGCUCGGAGAAACUCCUGUGGUCGGUCUUCCGGACGGUGGGUUCGAUUCCCCCCGCCUCCACCA